GAACGCUGGCGGCGUGCUUAACACAUGCAAGUUGUGCGACGGUUAUCCAAAGUAGCAAUACGGAGGGUAAUACGGAGCAGCGGACGGGUGAGUACAACAUGAGAAGCUAUCCUGGAGUGGGGGACAACGUUUGGAAACGGACGCUGAUACCCCAUAGGCCUGAGGGUUAAAGCAGCAAUGCGCUGCAGGAGGUGCUCGUGUCCUAUCAGCUUGAUGGUGAGGUAACGGCUCACCAUGGCGAUGACGGGUAGCCGGCCUGAGAGGGUGACCGGCCACACUGGAACUGAGAUACGGUCCAGACUCCUACGGGAGGCAGCAGUGGGGAAUAUUGGGCAAUGGGAGAAAUCCUGACCCAGCAACGCCGCGUGAACGAAGAAGGCCCUUGGGUCGUAAAGUUCUUUUAUGUGGGAAGAAGGAAGUGACGGUACCACAUGAAUAAGCCCCGGCUAACUACGUGCCAGCAGCCGCGGUAAUACGUAGGGGGCGAGCGUUGUCCGGAAUUACUGGGCGUAAAGGGCACGCAGGCUGUGCCGUAAGUCAGCUGUUAAAGGAUGCGGCUUAACCGUGUUAUGCAGUUGAAACUGCGGUGCUGGAGUACCGAAGAAGGCAAGUGGAAUUCCCAGUGUAGCGGUGAAAUGCGUAGAUAUUGGGAAGAACACCGGUGGCGAAGGCGACUUGCUGGUCGGUAACUGACGCUGAGGUGCGAAAGCCAGGGGAGCAAACGGGAUUAGAUACCCCGGUAGUCCUGGCUGUAAACGAUGAAUGCUGGGUGUGCGAUAAGAUACUACGUGCCGUAGCUAACGCGAUAAGUAAUCCGCCUGGGGAGUACGGUCGCAACAGUGAAACUCAAAGGAAUUGACGGGGGCCCGCACAAGCGGAGGAACAUGUGGUUUAAUUCGAUGAUACGCGAGGAACCUUACCCGGGCUUGAAAUGUACCUGAAUAAUGUAGAAAUAUGUUAGCUUUAAGGAGCAGGUAUGUAGGUGCUGCAUGGUUGUCGUCAGCUCGUGCCGUGAGGUGUCGGCUUAAGUGCCAUAACGAGCGCAACCCACAUUGUUAGUUUCAGCAGGUCAAGCUGAGGACUCUGACAAGACUGCCAGCGUAAGCUGUGAGGAAGGUGUGGAUGACGUCAAAUCAGCACGGCCCUUACGUCCGGGGCGACACACGUGUUACAAUGGGUGGGACAGAGGGCUGCUACCGGGUGACCGGACGCUAAUCUCCAAAUCCACUCUCAGUUCGUAUUGUAGUCUGCAACUCGGCUACAUGAAGCUGGAUUCGCUAGUAAUCGCGCAUCAUCCAUGGCGCGGUGAAUACGUUCCCGGGCCUUGUACACACCGCCCGUCAAGCCAUGGGAGCCGGGGGUACCUGAAGUACGUCACCGUAAGGAUCGUCAUAGGG
rnacentral:rRNA from 1 species